AGGCAUUUAUUAACACUGCAAAGGAGAUCUACGAGAAAAUCCAGGAAGGCGUUUUUGACAUUAAUAAUGAGGCAAAUGGCAUAAAAAUUGGCCCUCAACAUGCGGCUACUAACGCAACACUUGCAGGCAAUCAGGGAGGACAACAAGCUGGAGGAGGCUGCUGUUGAGCCUGUUUUUACUUUCUAGCUGCCUGGAUGGGGCCUACUAACUUGUUUGUUCACCCCUUCCCUUCCCCCCGCCCCCCUUCCCCAUCCUGCCCCGCUCGCCUCCACUUCAAUUCAACUGAGACAUGAAACUUGUAAGUUGGUUUCCUGUUGCAGAAGAAGACUUUCUCCUUCAAAUUCUUGUAUAACUUUGAAUAAAUGGUUAAUGUUCACUUAAAGACAGAUUUUGGAGAUUGUAUUCAUAUCUAUUUACAUUUGAUUUCUAGGUCAAUUGAUGUGAUUAUUUUUGUUCAAUGUCGUCUUGUGCCCUUGACUACGAACUGAAUUGUAUUAAACACUACAAAGUCAUCUGAGUAUUUUAAUCAGUUUGUGUAGUUAGGUUCCCCAGCUCCUGCGGUUACCUAAUGUUUAAUAUUGUAGAGCUGUCCUCAAGUUUUUUGUCAAUUUUCAAGGCUAUGAAGAGAAGCGGAAGGACUCUUUUAAUUCUGUAUUUAUCACUUUCUGUAUAUAUAGUUUAAUAACCUGCUUGGGUGUACUUGCCAAGCUAGAAUUCUUUAAUGCAUUUGCAUAAAUUCUAUACUACUUAGAGCUUGAAAACUACAGAAGCAUUAAUAGAAAUUGCUUGGAUGCUAAAUUUUAAGCCUUUUUGACAUUGUUAGCAUGUUCAUCCUCCCCUGUCAUUAUCCUGAAGUCCGAGAGAAAUGCUUAAUGUAUAUUACUAGAGGCUACAUACGUGCUAUCUAUUUUAAUGCCAAAUGUUUGCUGUUUGUCCACAAUUUCCACAGCACCUCUUCAGAAAUGGAUCAGCUGUUUGCCUUAAUGAAUACCGUAGGUAAAAACAGACUAUGAAUGACAAGUAGAGGAGGAGUUGAUAAAUUUAAACCGGCGCAUUAUAAUAACGUUGAUCUUUUCUUAAUGGUUUUUUUUUUCUUAUUUACCACUUGAUUUCUAGGUAUAUUUUUUUCAUGCAAGGACAGUUUUUUCAACCUAAAUGUACAGUGGUUGUGUAAGGUUUUCUUUUAGUGACAACUUGUAAUCCUAAAUAUAUGGUAAGCAUCUUGUCUAUUGUGAAGAGGGUGUGAAAAUAAAAUCUGCCAGUUUGGAAACCUUGAUGAAAGUCAAAA